UGAGAGCCCCGUAUGGUCGGCCGCCUAGCCUGUGUGAAGCUCCUUCGACGAGUCGAGUAGUUUGGGAAUGCUGCUCAAAAUGGGAGGUAAAUUCCUUCUAAAGCUAAAUACUGGCCAGAGACCGAUAGCGCACAAGUAGAGUGAUCGAAAGAUGAAAAGCACUUUGAAAAGAGGGUUAAACAGCACGUGAAAUUGUUGAAAGGGAAGCGCUUGUGACCAGACUUGCGCCGGGCUGAUCAUCCGGUGUUCUCACCGGUGCACUCUACCCGGCUCAGGCCAGCAUCGGUUUUAGCGGGGGGAUAAAGGCCCCGGGAACGUAGCUCCCCCGGGAGUGUUAUAGCCCGGGACGUAAUGCCCCCGCCGGGACCGAGGACCGCGCUUCGGCAAGGAUGCUGGCGUAAUGGUCAUCAGCGACCCGUCUUGAAACACGG
rnacentral:rRNA from 1 species